GUGCCCGUAGCUCAGCUGGAUAGAGCAACAGCCUUCUAAGCUGUAGGUCGUGGGUUCGAAUCCCGCCGGGCACGCCA
rnacentral:tRNA from 1 species